rnacentral:rRNA from 1 species
UCUCCUGGGAAACGGGUGGUAAUGCCGGAUGCUCCAGUUGAUCGCAUGGUCUUCUGGGAAAGCUUUCGCGGUAUGGGAUGGGGUCGCGUCCUAUCAGCUUGACGGCGGGGUAACGGCCCACCGUGGCUUCGACGGGUAGCCGGCCUGAGAGGGCGACCGGCCACAUUGGGACUGAGAUACGGCCCAGACUCCUACGGGAGGCAGCAGUGGGGAAUAUUGCACAAUGGGCGCAAGCCUGAUGCAGCGACGCCGCGUGAGGGAUGGAGGCCUUCGGGUUGUAAACCUCUUUUAUCGGGGAGCAAGCGAGAGUGAGUUUACCCGUUGAAUAAGCACCGGCUAACUACGUGCCAGCAGCCGCGGUAAUACGUAGGGUGCAAGCGUUAUCCGGAAUUAUUGGGCGUAAAGGGCUCGUAGGCGGUUCGUCGCGUCCGGUGUGAAAGUCCAUCGCUUAACGGUGGAUCCGCGCCGGGUACGGGCGGGCUUGAGUGCGGUAGGGGAGACUGGAAUUCCCGGUGUAACGGUGGAAUGUGUAGAUAUCGAAAAAAAACACCA